rnacentral:rRNA from 1 species
AACUACGUGCCAGCAGCCGCGGUAAUACGUAGGUGGCAAGCGUUGUCCGGAAUUACUGGGUGUAAAGGGAGCGCAGGCGGGUGAUCAAGUCAGCUGUGAAAACUACGGGCUUAACCCGUAGACUGCAGUUGAAACUGUUCAUCUUGAGUGAAGUAGAGGUUGGCGGAAUUCCGAGUGUAGCGGUGAAAUGCGUAGAUAUUCGGAGGAACACCGGUGGCGAAGGCGGCCAACUGGGCUUUAACUGACGCUGAGGCUCGAAAGUGUGGGGAGCAAACAGGAUUAGAUACCCUGGUAGUCCACACUGUAAACGAUGAUUGCUAGGUGUGGGGGGUCUGACCCCUUCCGUGCCGGAGCUAACGCAAUAAGCAAUCCACCUGGGGAGUACGACCGCAAGGUUGAAACUCAAAGGAAUUGACGGGGACCCGCACAAGCAGUGGAUUAUGUGGUUUAAUUCGAAGCAACGCGAAGAACCUUACCAGCACUUGACAUCCAACUAACGAAAUAGAGAUAUAUUAGGUGCCCUUCGGGGAAAGUUGAGACAGGUGGUGCAUGGUUGUCGUCAGCUCGUGUCGUGAGAUGUUGGGUUAAGUCCCGCAACGAGCGCAACCCUCGCCAUUAGUUGCUACGCAAGAGCACUCUAAUGGGACCGCUACCGACAAGGUGGAGGAAGGUGGGGACGACGUCAAAUCAUCAUGCCCCUUAUGUGCUGGGCUACACACGUAAUACAAUGGCCAUCAACAGAGAGAAGCAAUACCGCGAGGUGGAGCAAAACUUCAAAAAUGGUCUCAGUUCGGACUGCAGGCUGCAACCCGCCUGCACGAAGUUGGAAUUGCUAGUAAUCGUGGAUCAGCAUGCCACGGUGAAUACGUUCCCGGGUCUUGUACACACCGCCCGUCACACCAUGGGAGCCGGUAACACCCGAAGUCAGUAGUCUAACCGCAAGGAGGACGCUGCCGAAGGUGGGAUUGGCGACUGGGGUGAAGUCGUAACAAGGUAGCCGUAUCGGAAGGUGCGGCU